rnacentral:rRNA from 1 species
GUCCACGCCGUAAACGAUGAGUGCCAGACGUCGGGGGGCUCGCCCCUCGGUGUCGACGCUAACGCAUUAAGCACUCCGCCUGGGGAGUACGGCCGCAAGGUUAAAACUCAAAGGAAUUGACGGGGGCCCGCGACAAGCGGUGGAGCAUGUGGUUUAAUUCGACGCAACGCGAAGAACCUUACCAGCUCUUGACAUGCUAGGUUUCGGCCUUCCGAGAGGGGGGCCUUCAGUUCGGCUGGGCCUAGUACAGGUGCUGCAUGGCUGUCGU